UAUUGCCAUUAUCUAAACGACCUGCAGAACAGAACAAUUUUUCUAUCAAUUAUAAGGGUAUAAGAGCUUAAAUUUUGAUGAAGAUUUUCUAAAAUCCACAUUUAUGUAAACAAUUUAUAAUCUAGGUUGCUUGUAACUCUAGCCUCUAUACUCCCCCAACCCAAUAUUCCAAAAACCGUUUCCGUUUUCAUUAAACUUCUUCACAGCCACCAACCAUGAACCCAGUUCUAUCAAAUCAUUCCAGAAAUGCUUGUUUGCAAAAACAAUUCCAUCAAAUACAACGAUUUAAUAAAACCCACAUCAGCAUAUUAGAAUUUGUUGUUUUCAUUUGAUGAAUU
rnacentral:misc_RNA from 1 species